AUUGAACGCUGGCGGCAGGCCUAACACAUGCAAGUCGAGCGGAUGAAGGGAGCUUGCUCCUGGAUUCAGCGGCGGACGGGUGAGUAAUGCCUAGGAAUCUGCCUGGUAGUGGGGGAUAACGUCCGGAAACGGGCGCUAAUACCGCAUACGUCCUGAGGGAGAAAGUGGGGGAUCUUCGGACCUCACGCUAUCAGAUGAGCCUAGGUCGGAUUAGCUAGUUGGUGGGGUAAAGGCCUACCAAGGCGACGAUCCGUAACUGGUCUGAGAGGAUGAUCAGUCACACUUGAACUGAGACACGGUCCCGACUCCUACGGGAAGCAGGCGUUGGGAAUUUUGGACCAUGGGCGAAAGCCUGAUCCCGCCCUGCCGCGUGUGUGAAGAAGGUCUUCGGAUUUUUAAACACUUUAAGUUGGGAGGAAGGGCAGUAAGUUAAUACCUUGCUGUUUUGACCUUUCCAACCGAAUUAAGCCCCGCCAAACUCGUU
rnacentral:rRNA from 1 species